UGCAGUCGAGCGCAGUCCUUCGGGACCGAGCGGCGGACGGGUUAAUAACGCGUGGGAAUAUACCCAGAUCUAAGGAAUACCCUCGGGAAACUGAGAGUAAUACCUUAUGCGCCCUUCGGGGGAAAGAUUUAUCGGAUUUGUAUUACCCCGCGUUAUAUUAUAUAGUUGGUGGGGUAAUGGCCUACCAAGUCUACUAUCUAUAUCUGGUUUUAGAGGAUGAUCAGCAACUCUGGGACUGACACACGGCCCACACUCCUACGGGAGGCAGCAGUGGGGAAUCUUACACAGUGGGCGAAAGCCUGAUCUACCCGUGCCGCGUGUGUGAUGAAGGCCCUAGGGUCGUAAAGCACUUUCCCCAGAGAUGAUAAUGACAGUAUCUGGUAAAGAAACCCCGGCUAACUCCGUGCCAGCACCCGCGGUAAUACAGAGGGGGUUAGCGUUGUUCAGAAUUACUGGGCGUAAAGCGUACGUACGCGGAUUAAUAAGUUAGGGGUGAAAUCCCGAGGCUCAACCUCGGAACUGCCUCUAAAACUGCUACUCUUGAUUUCGAGAGAGGUGAGUGGAAUUCCGAGUGUAGAGGUGAAAUUCAUAUAUAUUCAGA
rnacentral:rRNA from 1 species